UAGGGUAGGGUCAUAGGCUUGACCUAUGUGUCCUACCUGUCGAACAUGAUAGAACCAGGUUCAGCUUACAUGACUUGUACCUCAAGGAAUCUAGUAGAGAUAAGAUAGACUCUAGUUUAAACUUUUAAAGCUGCUCUAUCCCUGUUGGUUGUAACUAGAUUGGAUUCUAUCUCUAUCUCUAUUCCUUGAUCUCCGAGAUGUACUUUAAACAUGUAUGCACUAUCUAGGGAUUUGGUGCCCCUCUAUAUAAACAUGCAACACGUCCCUCUAACGAGGUAAGAUGUUUCCGCAA